rnacentral:rRNA from 1 species
UACGUAGGCAGCAAGCGUUGUUCGGAAUUACUGGGCGUAAAGAGUGUGUAGGCGGUGCUCUAAGUCUGUUGUGAAAUCUCCCGGCUUAACUGGGAGGGUGCGGCGGAGACUGGAGUGCUAGAGUGUGGGAGAGGUAAGCGGAAUUCCUGGUGUAGCGGUGAAAUGCGUAGACAUCAGGAGGAACACCUGUGGUGUAGACAGCUUACUGGACCACGACUGACGCUGAGACACGAAAGCGUGGGUAGCAAACAGG